UACGGAGGGGACUAGCGUUGUUCGGAAUUACUGGGCGUAAAGCGCACGUAGGCGGAUUUGUAAGUCAGGGGUGAAAUCCCGGGGCUCAACCUCGGAACUGCCUUUGAUACUGCAAAUCUCGAGUCCGGAAGAGGUGAGUGGAAUUCCGGGUGUAGUGGUGAAAUGCGUAGAUAUCCGGAGGAACACCAGUGGCGAAAGCGGCCACCUGGACUGCACCUGACGCUGACACGCGAAAGCUAGGGGAGCGAACGGG
rnacentral:rRNA from 1 species